rnacentral:pre_miRNA from 1 species
AGCUUUCCGAAUCCGUGCUGAGAUUUCGUCCGAUACCAACCCAUUAGGGCUGAUCAGACUCAUCAUUCAGAUAGCU